rnacentral:ncRNA from 1 species
CCCAGACUCCUACGGGAGGCAGCAGUGGGGGAAUAUUGCACAAUGGGCGCAAGCCUGAUGCAGCGACGCCGCGUGAGGGAUGACGGCCCUUCGGGGUUGUAAAACCUCUUUUCAGUAGGGGAAGAAGCCUCUCGGGGGGUGACGGUACCUGCAGAAGAAGCGCCGGCUAACUACGUGCCAGCAGCCCGCGGUAAAUACGUAGGGGGCGCAAAGCGUUGUCCCGGGAAAUUUAUUUGGGGCGUAAAAGAGCUCGUAGGCGGGUCUGUCGCGUCUGCUGUGRAAAAACGCGGGGGGCUCAAACCCCCCGCGCCUGCAGUGGGGUACGGGGCAGACUAGAGUGCGGUAGGGGGAGACUGGAAUUCCUGGUGUAGCGGUGGAAUGCGCAGAUAUCAGGAGGAACACCGGUGGCGAA